rnacentral:rRNA from 1 species
ACGGCUCAGUAACACGUGGAUAAUCUGCCCUAAGGUCAGGCAUAACACCGGGAAACUGGUGAUAAUUCCUGAUAUACCAUAGAUACUGGAAUGUUCUGUGGUCAAAAGCUCCGGCGCCUUAGGAUGAAUCUGCGGCCUAUCAGGUCGUAGUGGGUGUAACGUACCUACUAGCCGACGACGGGUACGGGUUGUGAGAGCAAGAGCCCGGAGAUGGAUUCUGAGACAUGAAUCCAGGCCCUACGGGGCGCAGCAGGCGCGAAAACUUUACAAUGCGGGAAACCGCGAUAAGGGGACACUGAGUGCCAGCAUACAAUGUUGGCUGUCCGCAUGUAUAAAUAGCAUGUGUUAGCAAGGGCCGGGCAAGACCGGUGCCAGCCGCCGCGGUAACACCGGCGGCCCGAGUGGUGGCCACUAUUAUUGGGUCUAAAGGGUCCGUAGCCGGUUUGAUCAGUCUUCCGGGAAAUCUGACAGCUCAACUGUUAGGCUUCCGGGGGAUACUGUCAGACUUGGGACCGGGAGAGGUAAGAGGUACUACAGGGGUAGGAGUGAAAUCUUGUAAUCCUUGUGGGACCACCAGUGGCGAAGGCGUCUUACCAGAACGGGUCCGACGGUGAGGGACGAAAGCUGGGGGCACGAACCGGAUUAGAUACCCGGGUAGUCCCAGCCGUAAACGAUGCUCGCUAGGUGUCUGGGAUGGUGCGACCGUUUCAGGUGCCGCAGGGAAGCCGUGAAGCGAGCCACCUGGGAAGUACGGCCGCAAGGCUGAAACUUAAAGGAAUUGGCGGGGGAG